rnacentral:rRNA from 1 species
UUGACGGGGGCCCGCACAAGCAGUGGAGUAUGUGGUUUAAUUCGAAGCAACGCGAAGAACCUUACCAGGGCUUGACAUCCCUUGAAGCAGCUAGAGAUAGCUGUGUCCUUCGGGACAAGGAGACAGGUGGUGCAUGGUUGUCGUCAGCUCGUGUCGUGAGAUGUUGGGUUAAGUCCCGCAACGAGCGCAACCCUCGACCUUAGUUGCCAGCAUUCAGUUGGGCACUCUAAGGUGACUGCCGGCUAAAAGUCGGAGGAAGGUGGGGAUGACGUCAAAUCAUCAUGCCCCUUAUGACCUGGGCUACACACGUGCUACAAUGGGCGGUACAAAGGGUCGCGAACCCGCGAGGGGGAGCCAAUCCCAAAAAGCCGCUCUCAGUUCGGAUUGCAGGCUGCAACUCGCCUGCAUGAAGCCGGAAUCGCUAGUAAUCGCGGAUCAGCAUGCCGCGGUGAAUACGUUCCCGGGCCUU